UACGUAGGGUGCAAGCGUUAAUCGGAAUUACUGGGCGUAAAGCGUGCGCAGGCGGUUGUGCAAGACAGAUGUGAAAUCCCCCGGGCUCAACCUGGGAAUUGCAUUUGUGACUGCACGGCUAGAGUGUGUCAGAGGGGGGGUAGAAUUCCACGUGUAGCAGUGAAAUGCGUAGAGAUGUGGAGGAAUACCGAUGGCGAAGGCAGCCCCCUGGGAUAACACUGACGCUCAUGCACGAAAGCGUGGGGGAGUAAAC
rnacentral:rRNA from 1 species